rnacentral:misc_RNA from 1 species
CCAAAUCAUCAAGUUGACAUAAGUUAAAAGUUGCAUGGAAAGCAUCAAUCCUCCUAUAGUCACGUUGAUUACCGCUUUUGUUUUAAGCUAGGUGCAAGAUUUCAUUGAAUCUCCUCCUACUAACCAUGGAAGCAUAGAUUUACCCUUAAGAUCAUUGAGAAGUCGCCAUGUUUUGUAUUUCUGAGAAUCCUCCAACCAUCCAUAUAACCCAGUGAACUGCCACUUACCCUCCACCACAACAUCAAUAUAAUGCAAUGAAAAAGAUAAUAAGUCAACCUGAACAUCAUCAUUCCACCACAAGCAUAACCCUCCACGCCGACAAGCAUGUCGCUCACAAUCCACCCUACACCAAGCUAAAACCUUUUUGCGAAUCACAUAUAACUCGAACACUUCUAACUUGGUUUCCAUGAGGAAACCAAUGGAGGAACUUCUAGCUUUAAUAGCUUUUUGAGGGCUCAAAUUGCAUGACUGUUCCCAAGCCCCCUGCAAUUCCAACUAAAGAGACUCAUGGCAACUAGCAGGACUGCCCAACAAUCUCCGCCAAUCUAAAUAAGCAACUAAGUUAUCACAUUUAGUUCGUUCCUCAACAUGGG